UUUGAUCAUGGCUCAGGACGAACGCUGGCGGCGUGCUUAACACAUGCAAGUCGAACGGAAAGGCCCCUUUGGGGGUACUCGAGUGGCGAACGGGUGAGUAACACGUGAGUAACCUGCCCUUGACUUCGGGAUAACUUCAGGAAACUGGGGCUAAUACCGGAUAGGAAUCCUUGCUGCAUGGUGGGGGUUGGAAAGCUUCGGCGGUUUUGGAUGGACUCGCGGCUUAUCAGCUUGUUGGUGGGGUAGUGGCUUACCAAGGCUUUGACGGGUAGCCGGCCUGAGAGGGCGACCGGCCACAUUGGGACUGAGAUACGGCCCAGACUCCUACGGGAGGCAGCAGUGGGGAAUAUUGCACAAUGGGCGGAAGCCUGAUGCAGCAACGCCGCGUGCGGGAUGACGGCCUUCGGGUUGUAAACCGCUUUCAGCAGGGGCGAAGCUUGUGGUGACGGUACCUGCAGAAG
rnacentral:rRNA from 1 species